rnacentral:rRNA from 1 species
CCUACGGGAGGCAGCAGUGGGGAAUUUUGGACAAUGGGCGAAAGCCUGAUCCAGCAAUGCCGCGUGAGUGAAGAAGGCCUUCGGGUUGUAAAGCUCUUUUGUCCGGGAAGAAACGGUGAGAGCUAAUAUCUCUUGCUAAUGACGGUACCUGAAGAAUAAGCACCGGCUAACUACGUGCCAGCAGCCGCGGUAAUACGUAGGGUGCAAGCGUUAAUCGGAAUUACUGGGCGUAAAGCGUGCGCAGGCGGUUUUGUAAGUCUGAUGUGAAAUCCCCGGGCUCAACCUGGGAAUUGCAUUGGAGACUGCAAGGCUAGAAUCUGGCAGAGGGGGGUAGAAUUCCACGUGUAGCAGUGAAAUGCGUAGAUAUGUGGAGGAACACCGAUGGCGAAGGCAGCCCCCUGGGUCAAGAUUGACGCUCAUGCACGAAAGCGUGGGGAGCAAACAGGAUUAGAUACCCUGGUAGUCCACGCCCUAAACGAUGUCUACUAGUUGUCGGGUCUUAAUUGACUUGGUAACGCAGCUAACGCGUGAAGUAGACCGCCUGGGGAGUACGGUUGCAAGAUUAAAACGUUAAAUUGAAUUGACGG